UACACUUGCAGUGUUUUGAAUUCCUUCGUUAAAAAGGGAUUUCAUUUCAAGGUUAGAGCUAGCAUUGCUUCCCAUUACCAAAGCAAAGAUACAUCUUUCAUUCAUUCUUUCAUUUGGCAUUCUUUCUUCCAGGACUUUCUAGACAAAGGUUAAAGCUGAGUAACUUUUCACACAAUUUCUAUCACUUUCUGUGGUUGUCCUGCAGUUUGGAAAUCUUCCAGAGCAUUGUGGGAAGCACACACGAGGCAAACUCAUGUUCUCAUUCUAAUGGAGUCCCUGAAUCACACAGCACAGCAAAUGUAUUAAAAUGUACCCAUAUUCCAUGCCUGGGAGAGCCGAGCAGAGAGGAGAAAGGCAAAGACACCCCUGAAAGAGUACCCCUCCUCCUCCAGCUGGGACAGUCGCCUCCGGGCUACCACUGAUGCCGGGGCCAGGCCUGCACCCAGAGUUUCGGGGAGGAGUGUUGCUUCCUCUGGAAUUUCUUUGCUGGCUGCAUCUCCUCAUUGUCCCGUCAGCACUGACGACCCAAGCACGGCAGCUGCCCUUCCCUCUGUCCCUCAUUGUUCCACUGAAAUUGCUUUUGCCUCUUGCUGGCAAAAGGCCCAAUCACGGGGGCAGCUCGAUGGCUCUUUGGGUGAGUUCCUGAGGGUGUGUGGUUUCUCUCUCUGCGUAAGGAGAGGGACUGGAGAGCUCCAGCCCUGACAGCUGCUCGUUGGAGGGGUCUCAAGUUCUGGAUCCUCAGAACCGCUGGCAAAGUUAGAAGCACAAUGAUGCCUUUCCUCAUUCAGAUGGACGUCAUGGAUACCCACCUGGGAGAAGUUACAAAAUCGAAUAGUUAAGCAUUUCCUUUCACCGAAGGGCAACUCUGUGCCACUCGAAUAGUUGACUCUCCAUGAGUCAAGUCCUUUGUCUGGUCUGUAUGGCCUUGUAUGAUGAUAACCUUCCAUGUCAUAUCUGUUUUGGUGGGGGUGAUCAGAGGGGACAGAAAUGUGUGCGUUAAUGCUCUCCGGACAUCCUAGCUAUAUGAAGUCAUGAAUAAAUUUAAAAGCCAAAUUAUUGAUAUGAAAAGGAUCAUCCAUGUGAUUUUAGUUUUUGCUUUUACACUGUUUCAAAGUCAAGGUAAUCAGUAUGAAUAGGAAGAAAAUAUGUGUUGUUAAAUAUUACUUAGGUGUUUGACAUACUAUGAAGGAACAAUGACCUUCUUAUAUACCACUAUGUUCAUCUCUCUAUUAAGAUCACCAGUUUGGCUAAGUGGAAAUUAUGGGACAGUUGAGCAAAUACUUGUGAAUGUGUUAAAAAUUCGGAGUCAAUAAUCGCAUGACCCUGAGUAUGUGUCAGGAAAGUCUUCCUAGAGGAGGUAAAAUCUAGCGAUAGCUAAGAUGCAGUUAGGCAGUGUUGGGCAGGGCUGUUGGGUUGCCCAACUCUUAAGGGUCACCAGCUGUGGUUAUGUGGGCUCUGUAUCUUCUGCCCUCGGAGUCCAGAGUGGAGAGAAGUGAAGUUCUAGUGGUGAGGGACAGAUUUCUACUAAGAGGGAACUGCAUGUAUGACCAUUCUGAGACUGACCCUUGGGAAUCCUUCUCUCCCCUGUCUUGUCAUGUCCCUGCUUCCUUGUCCAGGCCUCAGGAAUUCAAUCUCUGUCAGUAUAGAUUUUCUCACUUUAAAAAAAUUUUUUUUAGAAUUUUAGGUAAAUGAAAUAAUACAAGAUUUGCCCUUUUUUUCCGGGGGGGGGGGACUGGCCUUUUCUUUGUUUGAGCACAUUUAUCAAUAGUUCAUUCAUUCAUUCAUUCUUCUUGCAUUGUAUUUAAGAAAUAUUUGCCAAGUUCAAGGUCCUUACGAUAUUCUCCUAUGUUUUCUUUAGGAGUUUUAUGUUUAGCUCUUAAAGUCAGAAAUAUUAUUGAUUUUAAGAUAGAUUUUUGUAUUUGAUGUGAGGUAAGGGUCAAGGGUGAUUAUUUAUUUACCUUUACAUGUGAUUAUCCAAUAGUUACAGCACGAUUUUCAGGCAAGAUUAUUCUUUCUCCAUUGAAUUUCCCUAGCACGCUUGUUGAAAAAUCAAGCAUGUACAUAAUGUAUGCAUGCUUACCUUGUUACUUGCUUAUGUCCUUUUAUACAGUCUCCUCCUACCUUCAUCCCUAAUUGAUAAUGUAUCAUAGUGUAGAAAAUAUUCUGCUAGAUACAGUGGAGUACAAAGUCUUGUCAUUGUUCUAAAAUUUAAAUGGGGUUACAUUGCACAUAUUACUCUGUAAUAUGUCUUUUUCCCUUUAAAUACAUGCCUUGUAAAACUUUUCAUUAAGCAAACAUGGAUAUACCUUAUUUUAAACUUUUUAAAAAAUAGAAUUAAUAACAAGGAUGGUGGAAUGUGAUGGACAUCAUUAUACAAAAUACAUGUAUGAAGACA